CACGUAGGGUGCGAGCGUUGUCCGGAAUUAUUGGGCGUAAAGCGCGUGUAGGCGGCCAGGUAAGUCCGUUCUGAAAGCCCGGGGCUCAACCCCGGGAGGCGGAUGGAUACUGCUUGGCUCGAGUCCGGAAGAGGCGAGUGGAAUUCCCGGUGUAGCGGUGAAAUGCGCAGAUAUCGGGAGGAACACCAAUGGCGAAGGCAGCUCGCUGGGACGGUACUGACGCUGAGACGCGAAAGCGUGGGGAGCAAACAGG
rnacentral:rRNA from 1 species